AAAGGGUGCUCACUGGUACCCGGACAACCAUUUCACAGACUGGUGUGCCCUAUAGGCAUCCCAGUGAUACACCAUCAGCCAGAGAGCCUGUGAACUCUUCCAAGCAGAAGGGCUCUCCCUGCCCCCUCUCCCCGCGCAGCUCGCUCUGCCCUCCGCCUCCUCUUCUCCGCCCACUCUCGCCGCGGUCUCCUGGCGGCGGAGGCUUUGUCUCGUGGGCUGGUCCCCAGCGGCUCCCUCCCCGAACAGCUGCUGCUCCAGGGAGGAAGCGGCGCGGGUGCUGUCCAGCUUCCCGGUGCUGAAAACCGGAGGGCUCGUCAUCCACCACUACCAUGUAAGGGCCAUGAGAAGGGCUCAUCCUGGCGCAGCGCGGACAUGGAGGAGGACUUAUUCCAGCUAAGGCAGCUGCCG
rnacentral:lncRNA from 1 species